GAUUCUUCCCAAUUCUACCGCCACCAUUCUGGUUCAAGCUACCUGUAUGAGGAACAGAAAGAAAAAUGAAGAAAAGUAAACAGAGUCCAAGGGACCUGUGGGACAUCAUCAAGUGAACUAACAUAUGCAUUACAGGAGUCUCAAGAGGGGAAGUGCAAUAGGAUCAGAAAGAAUGUUUGAAGAAAUAAUGGUUGAAAAACUCCCAAAUUUGAUGAAAGAGGUGAAUCUACAUAUCCAAGAAGCUCAAUGAACUCUAAAGAGACCCACACUGAGACGUGUUAUAGUCAAACUGUCAAAAGCCAAAGACAAUGAAAACAACAAGAGAGAAACAACUCAUCACAUACAAGAGAGCCUUAAUAAAAUUACUAGCUGAUUUCUUAUAAAAAACCAUGGAGACCAGAAAAUAAGAAUGUCGAUCAAGAAUUCUAUAUCUGACAAAACUAUUCCUAAAGAAAUUCUCAGAUAAACAAAAGCUACAGAAUUUACUAGUAGACCUGCCCUACAAGAAAUGCUAAAGAGAAUCUCUCAGAUUGAAAUUAAAGGACAUCAGACAGUAACUUGAAGCCAUAUGAAAAAAUAAAGAGCAAUUGUGAAAAAU
rnacentral:lncRNA from 1 species